rnacentral:rRNA from 1 species
GGGGACGUAACAAAGCGACCCAGGAAUGCUUGGGCGUGCCUCCACCCACGCCGGCGUCGGCGGGCGUAUUUCGCCUCACAGUAGGUCGCCGCGACCCGUUGCUUUUGGGGACGUCGAAGGCCCGGACGGAUUGGUACCCUACCGGCUGGGGAUGCGGCUUCGGCUUCUCCUCUUGUCCGGUGGGCGAAACCGCCGGUGUCCUGGCUGCCCUGCGACGGUCGUAGAGACGAGCCCUCCCCCAUUCGUGGGGGGCGGCUCUCGCGGCGUGCAAAAGGUCGGUGAUCCACCCGACCCGUCUUGAAACACGGACCAAGGAGUCUAACAUGUGUGCGAGUCAGUGGGCGCACUAAACCCAGAGGCGUAAUGAAAGUGACACGGGUUCGGCUGUCGCCUCGUGUGGCAGCCGGACUCAGGGCCGAUCCCUCACCGGUUGCCCUCGCCUCUCUCCCGCGUCUCGGUAAGCCGGGUGAGCUAUUUUCCCCGGCCAAUGCUGCGGGGCUCGGGGGGAGGCGGGGUUGCGAUGGUGUCCGUAAAAAAGAGCCUGCUGUUGCAGGGGGGCGCAGGCCCGGGACUUGCCAGGACGCCGCGAGACUGUCACUUUGCUGUGAGGCUCUAGGGCCGAUCAGCGGGUCAUGCGUGCAGUCGGCAAGUACCAUGAGCAGACAUGUUGGGACCCGAAAGAUGGUGAACUAUGCCUGGCCAGGAUGAAGCCAGAGGAAACUCUGGUGGAGGUCCGUAGCGAUUCUGACGUGCAAAUCGAUCGUCGGAGCUGGGUAUAGGGGCGA